GAUGAACGCUGGCGGCGUGCCUAAUACAUGCAAGUCGAGCGAACAGACGAGGAGCUUGCUCCUUUGACGUUAGCGGCGGACGGGUGAGUAACACGUAGGUAACCUACCUAUAAGACUGGGAUAACUUCGGGAAACCGGAGCUAAUACCGGAUAAUAUUUCGAACCGCAUGGUUCGAUGGUGAAAGAUGGCUUUGCUGUCACUUAUAGAUGGACCUGCGCCGUAUUAGCUGGUUGGUAAGGUAACGGCUUUCCAAGGCAACGAAGCGUAGCCGACCUGAGUGGGUGGGUGGCCAGCCUGGAACGGAGACACGGUCCAGAGUGCCACGGGUGGGAGCAGGAGGGAAACUUCCGGAAUGGGCGGAAACCUGACGGAGCAACGCCGCGGGAUGGAGGAAGGUCUUCGGGUCGUAAAACUCUGUUAUUAGGGAAUAACAAACGUUUAAGUAACUGUGCGCGUCUUGACGGUACCUAAUCAGAGAGGCACGGCUAACUACGUG
rnacentral:rRNA from 1 species